GCUUAACACAUGCAAGUCGGGCGGCAGCGCGGGAGCAAUCCUGGCGGCGAGCGGCGAACGGGUGAGUAAUGCUUCGGAAUCUGCCCAGUAGUGGGGAAUAACCAGUCGAAAGACUGGCUAAUACCGCAUACGACCUAUGGGUGAAAGCGGGGGAUCGCAAGACCUUGCGCUAUUGGAUGAGCCGAAGUCGGAUUAGCUUGUUGGUGAGGUAACGGCUCACCAAGGCGACGAUCCGUAGCUGGUCUGAGAGGACGACCAGCCACACUGGGACUGAGACACGGCCCAGACUCCUACGGGAGGCAGCAGUGGGGAAUAUUGGACAAUGGGGGCAACCCUGAUCCAGCGACGCCGCGUGUGUGAAGAAGGCCUGCGGGUUGUAAAGCACUUUUAGUGGGGAGGAAAUGCGCAGACCUAACACGUCUGUGAGCUGACUUAACCCAAAGAAAAAGCACCGGCUAACUCUGUGCCAGCAGCCGCGGUAAUACAGAGGGUGCGAGCGUUAAUCGGAAUUACUGGGCGUAAAGCGUGCGUAGACGGUUAUUUAAGUCGGGUGUGAAAUCCCCGGGCUCAACCUGGGAAUUGCAUUCGAGACUGAAUAGCUAGGGUUCGGAAGAGGGAAGCGGAAUUUCCGGUGUAGCGGUGAAAUGCGUAGAUAUCGGAAGGAACAUCAGUGGCGAAAGCGGCUUCCUGGUCCAGAACCGACGUUCAGGCACGAAAGCGUGGGGAGCAAAC
rnacentral:rRNA from 1 species